GUCCUAUAGAUUUAAUUUUAGGUCUGGCCUGCUCAAUGAUUUUAUUUAAUAGCCGCAGUAUAUUGACUGUGCAAAGGUAGCAUAAUCAUUUGUCUUUUAAUUGAAGGCUUGAAUGAAUGGUUGGACGUGAGAUUUACUUUCUUUAAUUAAUAUUUAUUUAAUUUAAUUUUUUAGUUAAAAAGCUAAAAUUUAUUUGUAAGACGAGAAGACCCUAUAGAAUUUUACUUUUAGUUUUAAAUUAAUUUUUAAUAUUUAUAAUUUAGUUUUAAAUUAAAAGUUUGGUUGGGGUGACUAUGAAAUUUACUUAACUUUCAUUUUUAAUUUUUCAUUAAUUUAUGUGUUUAAUGAUCCUAACUUUAAAUUUGGAUUUAAAGAUUAAAUUACCUUAGGGAUAACAGCGUAAUUCUUUUGGAGAGUUCAUAUCGAUGAAAUGAGUUUGCGACCUCGAUGUUGGAUUAAAGUUAUAGUUGGGUGUAGAAUUUCAACUUAUAGGUCUGUUCGACCUUUAAAUCUUUACA
rnacentral:rRNA from 1 species